UACGUAGGUGGCAAGCGUUGUCCGGAUUUACUGGGCGUAAAGAGCGCGCAGGCGGUCGAUUAAGUCGAAUGUGAAAGCCCCCGGCUCAACUGGGGAGGGUCAUUCGAUACUGAUCGACUUGAAGGCAGGAGAGGGUAGUGGAAUUCCCGGUGUAGUGGUGAAAUGCGUAGAUAUCGGGAGGAACACCAGUGGCGAAGGCGGCAUCCUGGACCGGCAUUGACGCUGAGGUGCGAAAGCGUGGGGAGCAAACAGG
rnacentral:rRNA from 1 species